UACGUAGGGUGCAAGCGUUGUCCGGAAUUAUUGGGCGUAAAGAGUUCGUAGGCGGUUUGUCGCGUCCGUUGUGAAAGCUUGGGGCUCAACCCCAAGUCUGCAGUGGGUACGGGCAGACUAGAGUGCGGUAGGGGAGACUGGAAUCCUGGUGUAGCGGUGAAAUGCGCAGAUAUCAGGAGGAACACCGGUGGCGAAGGCGGGGUCUCUGGGCCGUAACUGACGCUGAGGAGCGAAAGCAUGGGGAGCGAACAGG
rnacentral:rRNA from 1 species